rnacentral:rRNA from 1 species
GUGAACGCUGGCGGUAGGCCUAACACCUGCAAGUCGAACGGCAGCACAGUAAGCGCUUGCUCUUACGGGUGGCGAGUGGCGGACGGGUGAGGAAUACAUCGGAAUCUACUUUUUCGUGGGGGAUAACGUAGGGAAACUUACGCUAAUACCGCAUACGACCUACGGGUGAAAGCAGGGGAUCUUCGGACCUUGUGCGAUUGAAUGAGCCGAUGUCGGAUUAGCUAGUUGGCGGGGUAAAGGCCCACCAAGGCGACGAUCCGUAGCUGGUCUGAGAGGAUGAUCAGCCACACUGGAACUGAGACACGGUCCAGACUCCUACGGGAGGCAGCAGUGGGGAAUAUUGGACAAUGGGCGCAAGCCUGAUCCAGCCAUACCGCGUGGGUGAAGAAGGCCUUCGGGUUGUAAAGCCCUUUUGUUGGGAAAGAAAAGCAGCAGGUUAAUACCCCGCUGUUCUGACGGUACCCAAAGAAUAAGCACCGGCUAACUUCGU